rnacentral:tRNA from 1 species
UGUAAAUCUAGCGGUUAGGAUUCCUGGCUUUCACCCAGGCGGCCCGGGUUCGACUCCCGGCA